CGGGGGUCCGAAAGCAUGAGUUACUAUGGGUUAUAUCACCAAUGGGUCAGCGGCAUGUCCCCCCUCCGAUGUGUUGGCCAGGAAACCCCAUUCGGAGGUUCGCAAGAUUGGUCUAGCCAGCCAGUGGCGGGGGCUGAUGGGUGGGCGAGUAGUGGUUGUAUCACACCGGUGGGCCCAUGCAGGAGCCAGUCUUCAGGAGCCAGUCUACAGGAUCCAGUCUACAGGAGGCUGCAUACAGGAGGCUGCAUACAGGAGGCUGCAUACAGGAGCAAGUCUACAGGAGCCAGUCUACAGGAGCAAGUUAGCUGUUGAUGUUAGGUGGAUGGUUAAGUUAGCUGUUGAUGUUACUAAUAAAAUUCUCUCCCUUUUCUCCCAGGUAUUUAGGUCUCCGGCACUAACAGGGCUACCAUUCCUCCUCUGAGGGUAGCACUGCCCGAUGAGGGGGAUGAAGUGGUUCGACUUGUAAUGGAGAAUCCCAGCACAUUCCCACGCUGUGAAACCUUACACUCGGUAGUGCUGCCGUGGGUAGGGGGAGCAGCGGGGGCCUCAUAAUGCGAGCGGUGUCUGGGCAUUGUUAACUAAUCAAUUCCAUUUCUUUUUUUUCCCAUGCAGCUUGUUAUUGUCAACUAAUUCCAUUUCUAUUUCUAGCACAGCCUGUCAUUGUUAACUAAUUCCAUUUCAUUUUUUGUUUUCUAGCAGCUUGUUCUCCACACAGACGGGGCUACCAGUCCCUUCCCGAUGGUAGCGCUGCCUGAAGGUGGGGAGGAAGUGGUUCGACUUGUGUUCGGAGACCGACACUUUCCCAAACUGUAAUGAUCCAAUGCACCUGGUAGCGAUGCCUUGUGUAGGGGGGAGCAGGGAGGGCACUCGAGACGGUCGAGUGGUGUUCGGGAUCAAGCUAAUAUAAUUCCAUGUUUUCUUCUCUUCCCUAGCCAGGUCAAAUCAAGUCAAGAGGAGCCGAAGCUGUCUGGACAGGCAAGUUGACCAUUGCAUCUUUUUUUAUAGCCUUUCUUGAUAUAAUGUAUAGAACUUAAACAGCUUAAAAUUUGGGCUGUCCAACUCACAUAUAGCUAGCAAGGGUCUUUUUUGGCUGAAAUUCUUGUUCAUUUUUUUAACUUGCCUUCAUAUACAUGAAAUGUAAUGCGCACUACUGGCCCCUAUGGGCCUAUUGUGAGGAUAUGUGAAAGACAUAGGAUAAUGUACCUUGAAUAGUCUACCAUCUUUGAUGUGGGGCUGCCAAUCUGUCAAUGCAAUGAUUUUCUUAUAGGUAUGUAUAUUUGGUGUACAUUUGUCAUUUUACAAUUUUACAAUUUAACAUGUUAUGUUAUUUUUGCGUUUGAAAUUUUUGUUCAGAAGCCAUAUUUUAUUUUUCUGUUUUCAGAAAGAUCAUGGGAUGUGUGCAUAACACAUGUAUGAUGUUUAUCACAGGUUAAACUGGUCAGAACAACUACAGGAGAUAGUUAAGCAUUGUGUUUAGAGGUAAAGAUGGAGACAAGGGAAGAAACUUUGCUUCGCCAAGGGAAACAAUUGUUUUCAAGACAGGUAUGUCGGAAAUAGCAUUUUAAAUUAUCUGACAUGUGGGCUAUGUUUAAAAAAGUAUGUCUUUGUAUUUUAUUUUUGCACUUGCUACUAAUUUUAAUCUUUUUAUUUCAGGAGCCAUGGAGAUCACCAGGUACCAAAAAUCCACUAUUUUGUGUUUUGUUUACAUUCAGAUUGUGUGUCUUGAAUUUUUGUUUCAGCCAUCACUGACCCAAAGUUUUCCCAUGUGAAUAGUGGAACAUCCUCCAGUCAUGUAUAAAUGGCAGUGUGUGAAACAGUGGCACAGUUCUGUCUUCAUUGAAAACUUACACAAGUGUUAUAAUCUACCACAAUUUUGCCUACCUGUAUGUAAAAGUUGCAUCAAAUAUUCUUCUAGUUGGUUGUUCCACGUUUCCAGUGAAUUAGACAGUUGCCAAGCUGGUGGAAAACAGUGGUGCAAA